rnacentral:rRNA from 1 species
AUUGAACGCUGGCGGCAUGCCUUACACAUGCAAGUCGAACGGCAGCACGGGUGCUUGCACCUGGUGGCGAGUGGCGAACGGGUGAGUAAUACAUCGGAACGUACCUUAUCGUGGGGGAUAACGCAGCGAAAGCUGUGCUAAUACCGCAUACGCCCUGAGGGGGAAAGCGGGGGAUCGAAAGACCUCGCGCGAUUAGAGCGGCCGAUGCCUGAUUAGCUUGUUGGUGGGGUAAAAGCCCACCAAGGCGACGAUCAGUAGCUGGUCUGAGAGGACGAUCAGCCACACUGGGACCGAGACACGGCCCAGACUCCUACGGGAGGCAGCAGUGGGGAAUUUUGGACAAUGGGGGCAACCCUGAUCCAGCAAUGCCGCGUGAGUGAGGAAGGCCUUCGGGUUGUAAAGCUCUUUUGUCAGGGAAGAAACACCGGCUCUAACACAGUCCGGGAAUGACGGUACCUGAAGAAUAAGCACCGGCUAACUACGUGCCAGCCGCCGCUGUAA